rnacentral:rRNA from 1 species
UAGGGAAUCUUCCGCAAUGGACGCAAGUCUGACGGAGCAACGCCGCGUGAGUGAAGAAGGAUUUCGGUUCGUAAAACUCUGUUGUUAGAGAAGAACAGCGCAUAGAGUAACUGUUAUGCGUGUGACGGUAUCUAACCAGAAAGCCACGGCUAACUACGUGCCAGCAGCCGCGGUAAUACGUAGGUGGCAAGCGUUGUCCGGAUUUAUUGGGCGUAAAGCGAGCGCAGGCGGUCAAUUAAGUCUGAUGUGAACGCCCCCGGCUCAACCGGGGAGGGUCAUUGGAAACUGGUUGACUUGAGUGCAGAAGAGGAGAGUGGAAUUCCAGGUGUAGCGGUGAAAUGCGUAGAUAUAUGGAGGAACACCAGUGGCGAAGGCGACUCUCUGGUCUGUAACUGACGCUGAGGUUCGAAAGCGUGGGUAGCAAACAGG